GUCUUCACAACACACCGCCGCCUCAUCGACAUGAUGUAUAUAUGCGCUUCACCUGCCUCAAUGCUGCAAUAUUUUGUUGUCAUGGAAACCGAAGGGCCCUAUGAUGCCAACCCAACCCGUCUGGCCUGACGUGUCACCACUGUCAGAAAAAAAAAGUUUGACCCACUUCGCGUGUCCCCCCCCACCCACGCUUCAUCACCUUUGAGCAAUUAUGCGCCGUAAGGAGAAAAGGACUUGAAAAUUCACAAGAAGAAGAAAAAAAAAAUCGUACGGCUUCUCCGGUGAAAGCGCUGGUCCAAACCGCUACCGCCAGCGCCGGGGUGACUCACGGCUCCUGACAGCUGUAAACAGCGCUGUCACGGCCGGCCUCCCGCUCCCAUUAAAAUGUCUUCCCCGGCUCCUGCAAUUUUCCGAGCCGUCCCGCUUGCGUGUGCGACGACGGACGCCCUUCAGAGUAGAUGGGCUCAAUGGGACAGGCCAUUACCCACCGGCGGGCCAAUUGCCGACGACUCGACCGCGGCUCUUCCCUCCAGCCUCAUCGCGACGGCAGACGCCACACACAUCUCGCCCAGUGAUUCAUAUCGAGUAAACCUGCCCCGGCGUCUAUUUUAUUGUGACAUUUUUUUUUUCCUCCCUUCAGCUGCGGUUCAAUAUCUUGGCACGUCACCUCCUCCUCCCCCGAACUGAAACUUUUUUUUUCCCUCCUCCCCCUGUGCUGAAUCAGGACACCACCGGAAAAAAAAAAAGCUCCUUCGCUUUUGGCUCCCGCUGUCACGCGUGAUCUUCGCACACGAGAACUGCACGGGCCACAAUCACACGCAGGGCAUGUGAGGAGGAAAAAGCCACCCCUCGGCGGGGGGCCACCACGAAGCAACGUCCAAGGGGACAGCCGAGAAUCUCAACCAUGCAGUUCAAUGAGCUAUCAAGCGGGAUCGAGGAAAAACAACAGUUCCCAGAGGCACUUCAACAAAAAAAAAAAACUUUCCUGCCUUGCACUUUCUGACACUUAGAUCGCCCCCAUCUCGUCGGCUUUGGGCAUCUUGGAAUACGGAAAACGCCACACACAAAAAAACAAAACAAAACCCUCUUACAUAAUAAACUAGAAACCGAAACUCAAAA